CAGUAGCGUAUAUUAAAGUUGUUGCAGUUAAAAAGCUCGUAGUUGGAUUUCUGGUACAACGCGCCUGGCCCGCUUACGUGAGUGCCGGUGCGCGUUUGCCAUCCUUCUAGAAAACGUCUCUACUCGGGCAACUGAGCCGGAUUCGCGAUCUAGAUCUUUUACUUUGAAAAAUUAGAGUGUUUAAAGCAGGCCUACGCUUGAAUACAUUAGCAUGGAAUAAUGGAAUAGGACUUUGGUGCUAUUUUGUUGGUUUAUGGGACCGAAGUAAUGAUUAACAGGGACAGUUGGGGCCGUUUAUAUUUCGUUGUCAGAGGUGAAAUUCUUGGAUUUACGAAAGAUAAACUUCUGCGAAAGCAUUCGGCAAGGAUGUUUUCAUUGAUCAAGAACGAAAGUUAGGGGAUCGAAGACGAUUAGAUACCAU
rnacentral:rRNA from 1 species